rnacentral:rRNA from 1 species
UGGGGAAUUUUGCACAAUGGAGGAAACUCUGAUGCAGCAACGCCGCGUGAGUGAUGAAGGCCCUUGGGUUGUAAAGCUCUUUCGGUUGGGGAGAAGGGUUAUUUGGCUAAUACCCAAGUAAUUUGACGGUACCAAAAGAAGAAGCACCUGCUAACUUCGUGCCAGCAGCAGCGGUAAUACGAAGGGUGCAAGCGUUGUUCGGAAUUACUGGGCGUAAAGGGCGCGUAGGCUGGUUUGUAAGUCUAAUGUGAAAUCCCCGGGCUUAACCCGGGACGUGCAUUGGAAACUGCAGAUCUUGAAUGCUUGAGAGGGUGGUGGAAUUCCAGGAGUAGAAGUGAAAUUCGUAGAUAUCUGGAGGAACACCUGAGGCGAAGGCGGCCACCUGGCAAGACAUUGACGCUGAGGCGCGAAAGUGCGGGGAGCAAACAGG